UACGGGGGGGGCAAGCGUUGUUCGGAAUUAUUGGGCGUAAAGCGCUUGUAGGCGGCUUGUUAAGUUCCGUGUGAAAUCCCCGGGCUUAACCUGGGAACUGCAUUGGUGACUGGCAGGCUUUGAGUGUGGCAGAGGGAGGUAGAAUUCCACGUGUAGCAGUGAAAUGCGUAGAGAUGUGGAGGAAUACCGAUGGCGAAGGCAGCCUCCUGGGCCAACACUGACGCUCAUGCACGAAAGCGUGGGGAGCAAACAGG
rnacentral:rRNA from 1 species